UAGUAAUUAAGUAGCUUGUAUCUUGCUUGGUAUGAUAAUUACCCUUCUCUUAGGUCUGUUGACUAGUGUUCAUCUAUCGCCUACUACCGUCAGCUCAGAUAGAAUUUGGAGUGGUAUGAAGUACCUCGUGCACUGAAGAACCAGCAUUUUGAAGGACCUGCAGGUGCUACCACAAGGCUCCCCAGGAGGGGAAAUCAGGAUAGCACAUCUCAGCAGAUGGGAGCAUAAAUCUGGCUAGGAAGAGAACGCAAGUGAGAAACAUGUUGAGUCAAUCUCCUCCAAAGAUACUCAUUGAAAAUCUUAAGAUACUAGGAUAUAUGGAGACCUCUGGCAUUCAUCAUUCACACAUGGAGUUAUUCAAACUGAUGAGCACUGGCAAAAGUAAUUCCUGCGUCUUCCUGGCUGCUCGACAAAAUGAGCACAGCUGAUUUCAGGCUACUCUGUAGAAGCAGUACAGAAAACAUUCAUGACUUCAGGUAGGAAAUAGGUAAUAAAGUAAGUGUCAUUUCAUAGCA
rnacentral:lncRNA from 1 species